rnacentral:RNase_P_RNA from 2 species
UGGGUCGGCUGGACGGUCGCGUCGCGGGUCUCCCGCGCCGAGGAACGUCCGGGCUCCACAGGGCAGGGCGGUGGGUAACACCCACCCGGAGUGAUCCGCGAGACAGUGCCACAGAGAGCAGACCGCCCCGGUUCCGACCGGGGUAAGGGUGAAAGGGUGGUGUAAGAGACCACCGGGGCCGUGGUGACACGGCCCGCAGGGUAAACCUCGCCCGGAGCAAGGCCAGACAGGGGAUGCAGACGCGGCUCGCCGAGUCCCCGGGUAGGCCGCUGGAGCGGCACGGCAACGUGUCGCCGAGAGAGAUGACCGUCCACGGGGCUCACGCCCCCGGACAGAACCCGGCGUACAGGCCGGCCCAUUCG